UCUCUGUAUCCUAGGCAUGUUCUUCAGGGGGCUGUGACUUGGGGUGCAGUGGAAGAAGGGGGCUUAUCAGCAGGAAACUAUCUCCAGAGUUGCCAGAAAUCUGGAUUAGGAUCUACAGAAAAUGUUGUCUGUCAGGGUUUGGCAAAGAUGAUUACAAGAAGACGCCGCGGAAAGAGAAGGGGAAGCUGCAGAGUAACCUCCGUGAGGAGCAGCAGAGGUGGAGAAGGUGAGCUGAGGAACUUGGCUGCUGAUUCCGAGCAGAGUUGGGGAAAGAGUUCCCGCUCCAUCAAAGAGUCAUUUGUCUAAGUCCGGUGUCUAAGAAGUGGUAUUCCCAGAAAACAUUCUCCUUUCUCUCUGGACAUGUAUCUUCCAAGGAAACAUCUCUUUAACCUGUGUCGUUGCCUUCUGGUUGGAGCAGCUUUGGAGAUGUCCUAAGGUAGGAAAAGUUAGUUUUCCCCUUCCACUCCCACAGAUUUUCUCUGGUUGCUUCUUUCUCCUCUAUCCUCUCCUUUCAGCUCCUCAAUGCCUGGGGCCCUCUCCCUCCUUCUACCUUUAUCACGCUCUCUGGAAAGUAUCUGAUAGCAGCUGUUUAUAUUUUAGGGUGAAUUAGGUUAAGGCCGUAGGCUUCUAAAAGCUACUGUCGGAAUUUGGACUAAAGUAUCUGUUUCCCCAGUGCCAUGUUUCCUUCACUGUCCCAGGUCAUACUUCUCUGUCAUUGCUUCUCAGCGUAGCUCCCUAUAAUAACUUGUUUUCCUGUUUAGUGCCCUGUGCAUGUUCCAUACCUAGCUGGGUCUGGGGAAGGGGGAGGUCCUCUGAAUGCAGUGGGGGCUCCAGAUAUGGUGGGAGGACCUAGCCUAGCCCCAGGACCCUCAUGUGGACAUGAUGUCUCCCUGGCAGGAGGACAAAGGCAGUGAGACGGACAGCAGCAGCAGUGACAAGGAGCUGGCAGGAGUGCUGGUAAAAGGCAUCAGACUGUGGUCUUGGACCCAGUACUCUGAGAGCACACAGGGAAACUGAGUCCUGGAGGGUGAAGGAACUUGCCAGAGGUCAUGUCAGGAGUCAUAGGAGAGCUGGGUUGGGCCCCAGAGCUGCUAAAUCCCAGGGCAGAAGUGAACUGAGUGGUGAGGCAUAGGACAAGCUCUGGCCAAAGGGCUGAUGUCACCCCAGGGUGGGUGGAGAGAGUGCUCAGUGUCACACAGGGAAUCAGAGCAGGGUCAGACUCAGACCAGGGUCCCUUGACUCCCAGCACAGUGCUCCUUCCACUGCCCUAAGCAGCCUGAGUUUUCUGACCUUGAGUCUGGAACCUCUGUCUAGAAGAAAACUUUGGGUCUCUCUAGAGAACCACCUAUACCUUUGAAACAGACACUGUAGAAUUACGUGUGGGACCGCAGAGAUUGGCGUGGUUCCCAGCCCUGCCCCUGAGCAGAUGGGGGACCUUGAGUACAUCUCUUACUGCCUUUGUGGCUUUAGUUUCUGCUCUGUAGCCCUAGAAUUAAAAAUUCGACAAAUAAAACUGUUUCGGAUUCCAGGGCAUUUGGCUCCAUCUUCUGGUCAGUUUUUGUCACUGUAGCUUUUUGCAGCAUUGCCUGCCAUCCAGUGUGACCUGAGAAUUUUGAGGCUUCUAGGAAACUUUCUGGCUGUGGUGGGUGGGAAGUGGAAUAGGACAGCAACAGAGUUAUCCUAAAAGUCUAGGGAAUUUCUGUGGUCUUUGGGUCAUAUUGGCGCAUGUUAUUCAGCCUUCUGCUGAUAGUGGCUCGGUAGAGAGUCAGGGAGGCAGCCAGUGAUGGACAAGCCCAAGUGUUAGAGGAGGAAGGUACAUUGGAGAACAGUGAAUGUAACCUCCUCAAUGUACAGGUGCAGAAACUGAGGCAACCUUCACCUGUGGAGAAGUAGAGUCUUGCUUCAGGUCACACAUGUAGGUUCCAGGUUUCCUGACACCCAAAUCCAUACUGUCCCCCACUCUGUCUUGCUGCCUCCUCUUUCUCCCAGCUUUCUAUCCCAGCUGAUUACCUCUUCCCCUUGCUUCUGAGACAGGGCCAUCAGCCUAACAAGCACACUGCUCCAUCCACUUGCUACCACAACAACCCAC